rnacentral:rRNA from 1 species
GACGAACGCUGGCGGCGUGCCUAAUACAUGCAAGUAGGACGCAGUUGCGAACGGGUGAGUAACGCGUAGGUAACUACCUAUUAGAGGGGGAUAACUAUUGGAAACGAUAGCUAAUACCGCAUACUAGUAGAUGGACCUGCGUUGUAUUAGCUAGUAGGUAGGGUAAUGGCCUACCUAGGCAACGAUACAUAGCCGCCCGGGGAGGGUGGACGGCCACACGGGGACUGAGGAACGGCCCAGACUCCCACGGGAGGGAGCAGUAGGGAAUCUUGGGCAAUGGGGGGAACCCUGACCGGGCAACGCCGGGUGAGGGAAGAAGGUUUUCGGAGCGGAAAGCUCUGUUGUUAAGGAAGCGGUACUUAACCAGAAAGGGACGGCUAACUACGUGCCAGCAGCCGCGGUAAUUC